rnacentral:rRNA from 1 species
UACGAAGGGGGCUAGCGUUGUUCGGAAUUACUGGGCGUAAAGCGCACGUAGGCGGAUUGUUAAGUGAGGGGUGAAAUCCCAGGGCUCAACCCUGGGACUGCCUUUCAUACUGGCAAUCUCGAGUCCGAGAGAGGUGAGUGGAAUUCCGAGUGUAGAGGUGAAAUUCGUAGAUAUUCGGAGGAACACCAGUGGCGAAGGCGGCUCACUGGCUCGGUACUGACGCUGAGGUGCGAAAGCGUGGGGAGCAAACAGG